GAGAAAACUAGAGUCAGCUUAGCCUGUGUGCUCAGAAAGACGGCUGGAGAAAAGAAUAAAAGCCCCACAGUGUGAUAAGGUCAAGACAGAAGAGAAGCUUUCUCAAGGCAGAAGCCAACUCCAGUUAGAAGCAGCUGGAUGUGUACAGAAAAAUCUUGAAAACCAGCAUUACAUGUGGAAAGAAGGGGAUUCAGCAUUAAGCGAGAUGGUGGCUUGCCAUUUUGUACUCACCCAAUUAGUGUGCUCCUUCUUCCGUUUGCUCACUGUGUCUUUCCAGGCUUCAUAA
rnacentral:lncRNA from 1 species